GAGGGUAUAGCUCGGUGGUAGAGUGCAUGCUUACCAUGCAUGAGGUCCUGGAUUGAAUCCCCAGCACUUCCA
rnacentral:tRNA from 1 species